rnacentral:rRNA from 1 species
UAGGGAAUUUUCGUCAAUGGGGGGAACCCUGAACGAGCAAUGCCGCGUGAGUGAAGACGGUCUUCGGAUUGUAAAGCUCUGUUGUGAGAGAAAAAGGAUAUGGACAGGAAAUGGUCGAUAUUUGAUGGUAUCUCACCAGAAAGUCACGGCUAACUACGUGCCAGCAGCCGCGGUAAUACGUAGGUGGCGAGCGUUAUCCGGAAUGAUUGGGCGUAAAGGGUGCGUAGGCGGCACAUUAAGUUUGGAGUGAAAGGCUGCAGCUCAACUGCAGUAGGCUCUGAAAACUGGUGAGCUAGAGUACAGAAGAGGGUGAUGGAACUCCAUGUGUAGCGGUAAAAUGCGUAGAUAUAUGGAAGAACACCAGUGGCGAAGGCGGUCACCUGGUCUGUAACUGACGCUCAAGCACGAAAGCGUGGGGAGCAAAUAGG